CACGUAGGGCGCAAGCGUUGUCCGGAAUUAUUGGGCGUAAAGAGCUCGUAGGCGGUCUGUUGCGUCUGCUGUGAAAACCCGGGGCUUAACCCCUGGCUUGCAGUGGAUACGGACAGACUAGAGGUAGGUAGGGGAGAAUGGAAUUCCCGGUGUAGCGGUGAAAUGCGCAGAUAUCGGGAGGAACACCGGUGGCGUAGGCGGUUCUCUGGGCCUUACCUGACGCUGAGGAGCGAAAGCGUGGGGAGCGAACAGG
rnacentral:rRNA from 1 species